rnacentral:rRNA from 1 species
CCCUUAGAUGUUCUGGGCCGCACGCGCGCUACACUGAUGAAUGCAACGAGCUCUACCCUUGACCGAAAGGCCCGGGUAAACUUGUGAAACUUCAUCGUGAUGGGGAUAGAUUAUUGCAAUUAUUAAUCUUCAACGAGGAAUUCCUAGUAAGCGCGAGUCAUCAGCUCGCGUUGAUUACGUCCCUGCCCUUUGUACACACCGCCCGUCGCUACUACCGAUUGAACGUUUUAGUGAGGUAUUUGGACUGGGCCUUGGGAGGUUUCGGCCUCCCUUGUUGCUCGGAAAGACUCCCAAACUUGAGCGUUUAGAGGAAGUAAAAGUCGUAACA